rnacentral:rRNA from 1 species
GACAGAGGGUGCAAACGUUGUUCGGAAUUACUGGGCGUAAAGCGCGUGUAGGCGGCCAUCUAAGUCGGGCGUGAAAUCCCACGGCUCAACCGUGGAAGUGCACUCGAAACUGGAUGGCUAGAGUCCUGGAGAGGAAGGUGGAAUGUUUGGUGUAGAGGUGAAAUUCGUAGAUAUCGGGAGGAACACCUGUGGCGAAAGCGGACUCACUGGACCACAACUGACGCUGAGGCGCGAAAGCUAGGGGAGCAAACAGG